GUGGAGGACUCCAAGUGGAGCUAGUUUGAAAGUUGGUUUCUGGCAAGAGGAAAGAAAAGGCUGCAACAUUAAAAGAAGAAUCAAAGUGUUAAAAGGACGCCCAAAAUGUAGUAUUGUGGCAGGUCGGGGUAAGUUACUUUUUUUUUUUCCUCUCCUAUGUUCUCUUUGGUUUUGGAUAGCAGUAAAAAUGCACUUCGGGGAGAAUUUUUCCUGUUGUUUCUAGGGAAAAGAAACUAACUCCAGGCUCUCUCCUGGGAUGGCUGCCUCCUGCUACUUUGCUCUGUUUUUGCGGAUGUUUUACAGGGAGGCGUUUUCUUCCCGAGCCCUGUCAUCACGGUCCCAGAGGCCCCGGAGCCCAGAGUGUCAAGGGUUUGGAGAGCCGCUAGGGCCGCAGAGGCAACAAGUCCUGGCCUCUAGCCCCGGGCGAGCGCCGCGCCGCUCCGCAGCUGAGCCAGGGGCUCGCUUCGCAGAAAUGAAUUUUGCACGUGUAAACUAUUUGCCUGUGGACGCGCACAGCUGAGACCCUCCGGUUUAUCAGGGGAAAAAACUCUCCCCUUAAAUGGAGGGUUUCGAAAAAGUCAGCCAUUGGUUCUCGCCCAGAUGAUUAUUGAUGCAAAGUGAACCCUACGGGUUGGAGCGCGGGCGCGUUUCUUUAACCCUAAAAGUCUCCCACUUCCGAAUUGCUUACGCUGACUUCCACUCGAAAUCGCUUGUAUCUUUUUUUUUUUUUCCAGGGGUGAGAAAAAUAACUAGGAGUGAUCUGUGGGAGAUGGUGUAGACAUGUAUUAGUGUGAGAGACACAUCUCACUGGAAAGCGAUACCCCAUGUUCGCUGAAUUGUAGAAAAGUGGCCCCAAAGAAACUGGAAAGGCGGCUCCCAGCGCGCGCACACACAUUUCCACAGAUAUGUGUUGGAGAUGCGUACUUAUAUGCACUUUACUGUCCGCGGCUCUGGGAUUCGGUUUUGUGGUUUGAAUAAUAUUGUUGGUCUGCUGUGUAUUUCAUGACACGAAUAUUUAGGCAUCCAUGCUGAGUGGUCGUUCAUUGACGCACUAAACAGUAACCCGCAAGCGUAUUCCAUGAGCCAGAUUUUAA
ensembl:lncRNA